CCGUCCCACUCCCCGGAAGGCUCCGGGAAUCCGCCACCACUGCGGAUACGCUGAGCGAGUGCCUCCCCCGCGGGAGCGCAUAGCCGACAGCCGUCGCACACCAGGAGCACCUUCAUG
rnacentral:sRNA from 1 species